CUCGCGCGAAGGGUAUCAAUACUAGAAGCAAAGGACAAGACAUUACCUUACUUCCGUAGGGUUAGAGUCGUCGGGCCUCUCGGAGAAGCUCGGUCUGACUCCACCCUUGAAUAAAUUACUUUGUUGCUUUGGCGGACGCCUCGUGCCAGCGGCUUCGUCUGUUGAGUGCCCGCCAGAGGACCACAACUCUUGUUUUUAGUGAUGUCUGAGUACUAUAUAAUAGUUAAAACUUUCAACAACGGAUCUCUUGGUUCUGGCAUCGAUGAAGAACGCAGCGAAAUGCGAUAAGUAAUGUGAAUUGCAGAAUUCAGUGAAUCAUCGAAUCUUUGAACGCACAUUGCGCCCUCUGGUAUUCCGGGGGGCAUGCCUGUUCGAGCGUCAUUAUAACCACUCAAGCUCUCGCUUGGUAUUGGGGUUCGCGGUUUCGCGGCCCCUAAAAUCAGUGGCGGUGCCUGUCGGCUCUACGCGUAGUAAUACUUCUCGCGAUUGAGUUCGAUAGGUCUACUUGCCAGUAACCCCCAAUUUUUACAGGUUGACCUCGGAUCAGGUAGGGAUACCCGCUGAACUUAAGCAUAUCAAUAAGCGGAGGAAAAGAAACCAACAGGGAUUACCUCAGUAACGGCGAGUGAAGCGGUAACAGCUCAAAUUUGAAAGCUAGCUCUUUUAGGGUUCGCAUUGUAAUUUGUAGAAGAUGCUUCGGGUGUGGCCCCGGUCUAAGUUCCUUGGAACAGGACGUCAUAGAGGGUGAGAAUCCCGUAUGUGACUGGGUGCUUUCGCUCAUGUGAAGCUCUUUCGACGAGUCGAGUUGUUUGGGAAUGCAGCUCAAAAUGGGUGGUAAAUUUCAUCUAAAGCUAAAUAUUGGCCAGAGACCGAUAGCGCACAAGUAGAGUGAUCGAAAGAUGAAAAGCACUUUGGAAAGAGAGUUAAACAGUACGUGAAAUUGUUGAAAGGGAAGCGCUUGCAACCAGACUUGCGCGCUGAUGAUCAUCCGGGCUUCUGCCCGGUGCACUCGUCUGCGCUCAGGCCAGCAUCGGUUUCGGUGGGGGGAUAAAGGCCUUGGGAAUGUAGCUCCUCUCGGGGAGCAAAUAGCCCUCGGUGCAAUGCCGCCUACCGGGACCGACGACCACGCUCGUCUAGU
rnacentral:rRNA from 1 species